GAUGAAGAACGCAGCGAAAUGCGAUAAGUAGUGUGAAUUGCAGAAUUCAGUGAAUCAUCGAAUCUUUGAACGCACCUUGCGCCCUUUGGCCAUUCCGAAGGGCAUGCCUGUUUGAGUAUCAUGAACACCUCAACUCUUCAUGGUUUUCCAUGAUGAGCUUGGACUUUGGGGGUCUUGCUGGCCUGUGGGUCGGCUCCUCUCAAAUGAAUCAGCUUGCCAGUUUUUGGUGGGCAUCACAGGUGUGAUAACUAUCUACGCUUGUGGUUUUCCACCAGGGUAACCUUCAGCAGUGGAGGUUCACUGGAGCUUACAAAUGUCUCUCCUCUGUGAGGACAGCCCUUUGAAUGUUUGAUCUCAAAUCAGGUAGGACUACCCGCUGAACUUAAGCAUAUCAAUAAGCGGAGGA
rnacentral:misc_RNA from 1 species